rnacentral:rRNA from 1 species
GACGAACGCUGGCGGCGUGCUUAACACAUGCCAGUCGAACGGAAAGGCCCUGCUUUUGUGGGGUGCUCGAGUGGCGAACGGGUGAGUAACACGUGAGUAACCUGCCCUUGACUUUGGGAUAACUUCAGGAAACUGGGGCUAAUACCGGAGAGGAGCUCCUGCUGCAUGGUGGGGGUUGGAAAGUUUCGGCGGUUGGGGAUGGACUGGCGGCUUAUCAGCUUGUUGGUGGGGUAGUGGCUUACCAAGGCUUUGACGGGUAGCCGGCCUGAGAGGGUGGCCGGCCACAAUGGGACUGAGAUACGGACCAGACUGGUACGGGAGGCAGCAGUGGGGAAUAUUGCACAAUGGGCGGAAGCCUGAUGCAGCAACGCCGCGUGCGGGAUGACGGCCUUCGGGUUGUAAACCGCUUUCGCCUGUGACGAAGCGUGAGUGACGGUAAUGGGUAAAGAAGCACCGGCUAACUACGUG